UCUUGAGUCGAUCGCGCCCGACCUCGAUACUCAUCACCGACCGAAGGUUCUCGACGCGCCCCUUCUGCUGCUCUCUGCUCUGCUUUUCCGUUCUCCUCCAGGGUUAGUCUCUCUCUCCCUCUCUCUUCAAUGGAGGAAUCCGCUCAUUUCCAAACCCUAACCUCUUACCCCCAAACCCUUGAUCCCCCCAAUCCGUCGCCCCAAACCCUAGAUCCCCCUCCUUCUUCCGAAACCCUCGACUACUGCGACCACUUCCCCCCUCCCCCUUCCCCUGAAAACCCACCUCCUAACCCCCCGCCCGACCAAGCCGACGGCCAGACGCCCGCCGCUGCGGCCGAGAGGCCGCCGGUCUCCGAGAACGGCCUGGUCGCCGUGACCCACAGUGGCACCGACAAGGAUGUGUCCGGCGGGGAGGAGGAGAUCAACAGCCGCCGCCGCCGCCGUCGCAGUCGCUGGGACCCUCCGGUGUCCGGCGACAGCGCUGGCGAUGGGUCUUCUGGUGGCCGGAAGCGGAAGACCCGAUGGGCCGAUGAGGAGCCCAAGCCGGUCGUCCAGCUCCCUGACUUCAUGAAGGAGUUCGCCGCCGACCUCGACCCCGAAGUCCAGGCGCUCAACUUAAGGCUUCUUGAAAUCAACCGGCUUCUUCAAUCCGGCAUGCCCCUCGACGACCGGCCAGAGGGCGCCCGCUCCCCCUCCCCGGAGCCAAUCUACGACAACAUGGGUAUCAGGAUCAAUACUCGGGAGUAUCGAGCAAGGGAGCGGCUGACGAAGGAGCGGCAGGAAAUCAUCUCCCAGCUCAUCCGCCGGAACCCAGCGUUCAAGCCCCCGGCCGACUACCGCCCUCCCAAGCUCCAGAAGAAGCUCUACAUCCCCAUGAAAGAGUAUCCAGGCUACAAUUUCAUUGGCCUUAUCAUCGGGCCCAGGGGCAACACCCAGAAGAGGAUGGAGAAGGAGACUGGCGCCAAGAUUGUGAUCCGGGGCAAAGGGUCUGUCAAAGAAGGGAGAUCGCAGCAGAAGAGGGAUCUGAAGCCGGAUCCCUCGGAAAAUGAGGACUUGCACGUGCUGGUUGAGGCUGACACUCAGGAGUCUUUGGAUGGUGCUGCUGCAAUGGUGGAGAAGCUCUUAACGCCGGUCGAUGAAGUAUUGAAUGAACACAAGAGGCAGCAGCUGAGAGAGCUCGCCGCACUUAAUGGAACCAUCAGAGAUGACGAGUUUUGUAGGCUGUGUGGCGAGCCCGGGCACCGACAGUACGCCUGCCCUGCUCGAACUACCACCUUUAAGAGCGAUGUCCAGUGUAAGAUCUGUGGCGACGGAGGGCAUCCCACAAUUGAUUGCCCCAUGAAAGGAUCGGGGAAGAAGAUGGACGAUGAGUACCAGAACUUCUUGGCCGAGCUUGGUGGAACAGCUCCAGAGUCUCUAACUAAGCAGAGCUCGGUAUUGGCUAUUGGUUCAGGCUCUUCUGGGAGCAAUCCACCUUCGGCUAGUGGUAGUGGUGCUGGGGGCACUGCAGGCACUGGAGCGACCAAUUGGAUCAAGAAGGAAUACGAUGAGACAAACUUGUAUAUAGGAUAUCUGCCGCCUACUCUUGAUGAUGAUGGACUGAUCAGACUGUUCUCUUCAUUCGGGGAUAUUGUGAUGGCUAAGGUUAUCAAGGAUAGGACCACUGGGCUGAGCAAAGGUUAUGGCUUUGUGAAGUAUGCAGAUGUUUCUAUGGCUAAUGCUGCUAUUGCUGCUAUGAAUGGAUAUCAUCUAGAAGGCAGAGUUAUAGCUGUAAGAGUAGCAGGGAAGCCUCCUCAGCCGGCUGUGCCCCCCGGUCCUCCUGCUCCUGUGGCACCUACAUAUCCUUCUCAACAGUAUAUGGCUGGUGGGCCUCUCGCAAACCCUCCACCACCACCUGGUAGCUAUGCACCAGUUCCAUGGGGCCCCCCAGUCCCCCCACCAUAUGCUCCAUAUCCUCCACCACCAGGUUCAAGCAUGUACACCCCUGUUCAAGGCCAGUCUGUGCCGCCUUAUGGCGUGCAGUACCCUCCUCCGACACAGACUGUUCCUCCUGGCACUGCAACUUCAAGUGAAUCAAUGCAGAAUUAUCCUCCUGGUGUGCAAUCACAGAGCACUACCGCACCAGUCCAGCCGGUGCAGAACAAUGCCUACAGUGGUACUGUUGCUCCAAGUGUUCCUCCAAUGUAUCCGCCUCCUCCUCCUUUUGGGUAUGCACCUUAUUACCCUGCAGUUCCACCACCAGUACAGCCUCCGACUGUUGAUCCCACUCAGAGCAUUGCAAAUGCACCAUGGGUCUCCAAUCCACCAGUGCCUCAGCCUGCUUCAACUGCAGAACAACCAGGAACUAUGGGUGCUGACACGGAGUAUGAGAAGUUCAUGUCAGAGAUGAAGUGAUGUUGACUAUCAUGCGUUUUGCAUCUGCACUGAAAGGUAAGGCUUCAUCUUGCUGCUACUUGCUCUUUCUUAGAUAUCAUAGCGAGGUCAUGAUUAAUUGCAAAGAUUGAUUAUGUGACAUUACUAAAUUUUGGUCAGCCUAUGUCUUUGUAAGACUUAUGGAUUUCGUAAACUCAAGUGGACUCAUGAAGAACAUAAACUGGGCAAAAACCAUGCUGCAUAUGAAGUGUUUCAUAAGUGUAUGUUCUUGAUUGUAAUAGCAUUCGACAUUUUUGUUUUCUUAUUGAACAGGAGAUAUUUCAGCCAAGUCUGUCUGGAAACAGCUGUGCCGUGCUUCCAUUUGCUUCAUUUUCUUUUCAUGGCCUAAUACUUGCCCUGUCUAGCACUUUUUUUUAUUUGGUUGCAUUCAUGUUUUGGCAUUUCUUAACUUGGAUGCUGGUGAUUAUUACAUUUUUUGGCAGGCUUGAGGUUUCUUGGAGCUAUUGUCAACCUGAUUUAUUUCCUCUUGCUCAUCUAGUUGGAAGUUUGGGACUCACAUCUUUAACCUUGCUGUACUCUUAUGACCAUUGCAGAGACUGCGGGCUCAAAAAAACUGAUCGUUUUCAAAGUGGCAAAUUUAUGUACUUGAUACAUCUGUUGCUUGACAGUUACAAUUUUUCUGUGGUUUUGGAUUUCUUUCUCAUGCAGAGGGCUUUUCUGCAACCAGUGCGCCAAGAUACUAGUCUUCUCCCUGUCUGCUCUCAUCUGGAACUUCUUUUGGGGCUGUUUACUAGUUAUUUCAUGAUGUUUCUUAUAUGAGACCUGUUAUAUGACUUUUGUUCUCUGGCUGAUUAUCUAGUUCUCUAACUGCUUAAUAUUUCAUUAUUGUCAAUGUUGCUACCAUCUUAUUGUGCUAUUCUAUACAUUUUUGAUUGCGAUGGAUGCUUGGUGAUGUUUCUGGCCAUCACUCUUUGGAGCAACCCUUGUGGUUAUACUGUUAUCAGGUUGGGUAAAUAUUCAUUUUCUCAGCAACUCUUAUGUUUUUCCUUUUUUUCUUUAUUAAUUUAGACUGCCUAGAGUUGUUUCCCAGUUUAUAGGUGAGAGCUGGGAGGAUAUGCUGCAAAAAUUGAUAAUCACUAGCUCAUCAGGUACUGCCUGGAAUGCAGAUGGAAAUUGGGGCAUGGCUGAAAAAUUUUCACUUGUAUGAUUUUUUUUUCCUUUGUUCAUUUUGAUAUUCUAACCAAGUUAUGCAGCAUGGGUGAUAUCUGUCAACCUUUGUGGUUACAUUGCCUUUGUGGUUACAUUGCCUUUUGAGCAUAAACAACAGGAUUACAGAAAUUUUCUUUGGUCAUUGCUUUAUUGGUGUCGCUGUAUCAGCAUGCCAGUUCUUCUAUCCUUUGACAAAAUUUUAUUCACACAAGCCCCAUAGCACUACUGGCUUCCUUUUCCCAAAAAAAUUCUGAUUUAUCAUAUUAUUCACUGUAAUUUGUUAGUUGAAGUGAUUGUUGCAAGUGCAAUAGGACUUGAUGCAAUCUCAGAAAUGGAGAAUGUAUAUAACUGAACUGCUCUAGCUGGGUCAUGACAGAGUGGAGUUAUUGGUAAGUUACAGAUAGUACUGCCAGAGGGCAACGAAAUUCACCACAGGUAUGUGUUGAAGAGAGAGUUAAAGCUAAGUAGGCAGGAACAAGUUAUGUGCCAUUGGGCAAAAACAGCUCAAUACCUUGGUAUUAUGUUAUUUGGGUUUCUUCAAGUCUUAGAUAGGUCAAGCUGUUUAGGCAGAUUUUGAAGUCCUAUGAGUGUAUUGCGGUUCAGGGGAGAAGGGGAAUUCCUUAGGAACAACAAUCUCAAACUGUAAACUAAUCUCUUACGAUGUGUGCUCUUCUCAGUGUUAAACAUAUAAAAUUGGAAAUAUUUUAAUUCUCAUAAUCUGUGCAAAUGUCAUUAUAAUAAGAAAAACUAGGAAUUUUUGAACCAUAUAAUUAUGGAGAUUCAAUUUUAUAGCAUACUUUGAAUCAUUGAACUAAACAUCCAACCUUUUCUUUUCUAAAAAAUAUCUUUUAUUUUUCUUUUCUUUUAUUUAUUUAUUUAUUUAUUUUUUUUGAGGGGGGGCGGAGAUGAAGUAAAAAAAUCAUAACAACAUGGAAGGCAAUCCAAUCUAAAUUAUAACGUAGUAUUUCUUGGAUCAAUCAGUUAUUUUUGUUCCGACUGAAACUCAACUAUGUUAAUUCAUCAGAUUUACGCUAUUUCUCGCUAAAGGAAUUGAGAGCAAGCAUAAAAUAUGCUGCAUGGGACAACAUCCCUUCAUUUAAAUAUCAAACAUGUCUAAAAUAUCUCUUAGGUGGUGUUUUGUAUGGGUGAUGACCCCAAGAUCAACGGUGAUGGGGGUGGAAGUGACAAGAUUUCCGGGUUGCAUCCUAGUGAUUUUACGUGGCAAAGAUCCCGAGUCAACCUCACUCCUAAAAUCACCACCCAACUCAGUGAUGUUAAACCCAUCUUGGAGGACAUGUUUUUAGGUGUUGUUGAUUUGGGCUGAAAUUUGGGGACAAACGUGCCCCUCGGUCCAGGAGGAAAAAUUGUUUCAAAAAAUGCCGGUCUCUGGAAAAAAGUCCUAGCUGAGAAGGGGUUGAUAAUUCCAUAAAAAAAAAUUCUAGUUGAGAAGGUUGGAUAAUCCCCUAGAGUUAUCUUGACAGGUUUUAAUUAACUUUUAGUCUUGUUGAUUUGGUUUGGAAUAACAUGUUUUGAUAAUUUGAUUUAUAUUCAUGUGUGUUUUCCUAGGAUUUAUUUGAGACUUCUGUUUAAUAGUUGCAAAAUAUAUGGAAUAUAUUGAGGUGGUUUUGAUUUUACCUACCAAGUAGGUUAAUCGUGGAUACAUAGGGAUCUUUAAUUACUGGAACAUAACAUACCAAACACAAUACUCGGGAUGAGGAUCACCAUAGUGAUCUCAUUUUGGUCACCAAGAGCCACCUUAAUCUAUUCUUGCCCUUCCCUAGAACAUGCACAAAUGAAGAGAGAAAAGCCUAUAAGUUUUCAAACUUGACGAAAAUUGGUGAGUGCUGGAAUUUACAUGUUUACAACCAUCCAUCACAAACCCAGAUACUACAAUAUUUGCCUAAUGUUCCUUUUUGUUUAGUCUUCAACCAUGUUAUUAUAGUCAACAGCGAAUGACUAAGGGCUUGCUUGGCAUGGCUUUUAUUUCUUGUUUUUUUAGGUUUAAAGACAAUUAUAAAAACCAAGUCAAAAAACUUAUCUUGGUAUUAUUGUUUUUAUUUUCUAUUUUUCAAAAGUUUUUUUUAUUAUUUCUAGAAAAAUGAAAGGAAGAAAUCCGUACUUUUAAUGUUCUCAAAAACAAGAAACUCAUUUAUUUUACUAUUUUACUAUAACUAUUGUUACUGUCUCCGCCUCUGCUACCACGGUGCCAUGUUCACCAUCAUUUCUGCCUUUGUCACCAUCAUCGUUGCCAUUACUGCUUUUGUCUUGUAGCCCGCACUGACGCCACAAGCAUUGCAACCAUUGCUGCUAUCACCUCCGCCCCAUUAGUACUACCAUAGCCAUGUCUCUGCCAUAACAUCACCAUUACAACUGCUGUCACCACUAUUAUCACCACUAUUGCUCCCACCAUCAACAUUGUAGUUGCCUUUGUUGCCACUACUAUUGUCUCUGCAACCACACCAUAUUUAUGUUUUUGAAAGUAUUUGACCAUACAUACCAUGUUAUCAGAAAUGGUAUUUAUUUUUUUGUUUCUGAAAAUAGAAAAUUGGCAGUGAUGCCAAACUGGCACCUAAAACUAUCUUUUUUCUGUUUUCUAGAAAUCAAGGUCCGCCGUACCGGUACCGAUCGGCGUAUCGGUGGCGGCCCGGACCGAUUCCGUACCGGUCCGAACCGGUCUCAUACCGGUGCUCCAACAAUAAACUAUCGGUACCGGAUUUCACGCUGAUUCGAGACCAUGCUAGAAACUAUUUGGUUGGCUAAAGAUGUGGAAACAUCGAAAAAGAAUGUGAAGUGGAACUAUAAAUUAGAUGCAUUUAUUUUGAAGAUCAAACUUAGAAAACCUUAAACUCUUUUUUCCCUGUUUUCUUUCUUUCUUUCUUUCCUAGGAAGAGAUAGAUAUAUAAGUGGGGACUUUGAAGUUCCUUUUUCUACGGGCUUUAGAGACAAGUUUAGGCAUUUUGUAAAUGUUCAAGUUUGAAUUAAAUGGCAUAGCUAUUCUUUCUGGAUUAAGAAAGUGUGAGGACCCAUGCGGGCGUGUUUAGUUCCACAUCAGUUAUUUGCCUGGCAAAUCUUGGGUAUUUAUACAGGAUCAAGGAACUCAGAAAAAUAUCUUUCGGUUAGCUUUUUAGGUGAGGUCCUGAGUUGUGAUAAAUGGUAUUAGAGUGGAUUCGGCCCAUGCCUUUUAUGGACUGGGAGACAUUGCAGCAUGAGAAUAAUUGAGCUGACCACAAGUUGAUCGUGAUGUUUGUGAUUGAAUUUGGAUUCUUAGCCUAGCGAGGAUGCCAAGGCUUAAACGGGGGGAGUAUGUGAAGAUCCGUACGAGCAUGUGUUUAGUUUCACAUCGGUUAUUCGCUGGGCAGAUCUUGCGUACUUAUAUAAGACUAAAGAACUCAAAAAAUACCUUCUGGCUAGCCUUUUUAGGUGAGGUCUUGGGUUGUGAUAGAGAGCAUACAUUGGAAGUGCAAAGUCCAGAAGACUCAAAAGACUUGAUUGUGUUCAAUGGUAGGCAAGGAAAUAGGUUUGAGGAAGAAACUGCUAUUAGAGAAGGGAAGUGGCCAUUGUGGGGGGAGAGCAGUGUUCGUAUAUGGGUUUUGUUUAUUUACUUGUAUGGCUGAUUUUUAUGUAUUCUUAUUAUUCAAGUUUUGUUAUAAGAUUCAAAUGGCUUUUUGCAAUCAAAAAUUAAUAGAUAAAACCUUUUCAAUGGUAAAUACUUUUGUUUUAUAACAUAUGUUUUAUUUGUGGAAUUAAAUUAAAAAAAAACAUAUUUGAUAUCCACUUCAGUGUUCUUCUCUUGUCACAUGUCAGAUUCUUAGGUUUUCACUUCAUAUUACUUACAACCAUGUGCUUUCCCAUUGUUGUACUCCUUAGCAUUAUCUUAUAUCUUUUUGGCAUAAUACUUUCAGCUAUGUGCUUUGCCAGUGGAUCCAUUGUACUUCUGAUGGUAUCACAAACUUGUGAGAAGUGACGUAUAACUUCAUUGAAAUGGGAUUUGCCUUCGGCCAUCAAUUGCUGCCUGUUAGGAGAUUUUCAAUACCUCAUAUCAAAGUCAAAGAGGAAAGUGUUUAAUUGUGCAUGCUGCAUAUAGUUUAUCUAUUGAACACACUGAUUUUGUCAGCCCUUAGCUAAAAGUUGAUUAAUGCUAUCUUAGAUACCUUUGAGUUAUUUUUUUUCUGAAAUAAUAUUUAGUUAUUUAUUUUGAUUGAAUUGCUACAUGAAGACAUUUUGAUGGCCAGUUCCAGCUUUA